rnacentral:rRNA from 1 species
AAACUUUCAACAAUGGAUCUCUUGGUUCCGGCAUCGAUGAAGAACGCAGCGAAAUGCGAUAAUUUAAUGUGAAUUGCAGAAUUCAGUGAAUCAUCGAGUCUUUGAACGCACAUUGCACCCCCUGGUAUUCCGGGGGGUAUGCCUGUCCGAGCGUCAUU